UCAAAACAGCGGCCUUCGGGCCUUGCUGCACCCUUGUCUUUUGCGCACCGUAUUGUUUCCUCGGCGGGCUUGCCUGCCGGUUGGACAUUAUCAAACCUUUUUGUAGUUGCAAUCAGCGUCAGAAAAACAAUAAUUACUA
rnacentral:misc_RNA from 1 species